rnacentral:rRNA from 1 species
GGUUUACGACCUCGAUGUUGGAUCAGGAUUAGAUCCACCUAGAGGAGCCUGUUCUAAAACCGAUAACCCCCGUUAACCUCACCCNNCACUACGUUUAUNCCCGCCUAUAUACCGCCGUCGUCAGUUUACCCUUGAAGGACUAAUAGUAAGCAAAAUUGGUACCAACCUAAANNACGUUAGGUCGAGNGUGUAGUCCANUGGAGAGGAAAGAAAUGGGCUACAUUUGCUGAUUNUAGCANAAAACGGAGAAAAAUAAAAGUNUUUGUCUAAAGGAGGAUUUAG